GACCUCAAGUCAUGUGAGAGUACCCGCUGAACUUAAGCAUAUCAAUAAGCGGAGGAAAAGAAACUAACAAGGAUUCCCCUAGUAACGGCGAGUGAAGCGGGAAGAGCACAAAUUUUAAAUCUACCUGGUUUCCAGGUCGAGUUGUAAUUUGAAGAAGUGUUUUUUACUUUCCGGGUUGGGUUAAAUCCUUUGGGAUAAGGUAUCAUGGAGGGUGAGAAUCCCGUGUAUACCAACCGCAGGAUUGUUUAAUAUACACUUUCUAAGAGUCGAGUUGUUUGGGAAUGCAGCUCUAAAUGGGUGGUAAAUUUCACCUAAUGCUAAAUAUAAGCGAGAGACCGAUAGCGAACAAGUACCGUGAGGGAAAGAUGAAAAGAACUUUGAAAAGAGAGUUAAAUAGUACGUGAAAUUGUUGAAAGGGAAACGGUUGAAGUCAGUCAUGCCGGCGGGAAUCAACUUAGGGGAAACUUUGAGUGCACUUCUUCGCUUGGCAGGUUAGCGUCGAUUUUGGAUGUCAUAAAAUGACUGGGGGAAGGUAGCUCUUUCGGGAGUGUUAUAGCCCUUGGUAGAUGUGAUGUCUGGGAUCGAGGAUUGCAACGGAUACCCUUUGGGCUAGUCGCCUAGUCUCUAAUACGAAGUUGGGUUAUGGACAGCACGCUGACUAUGAUCUGAUUUUCGGUUAAAAGAUUAGAGCGAGCAUAAAUUCGUUAAGGACGCUGACGUAAUGGCUUUAAACGACCCGUCUUGAAACACGGACCA
rnacentral:rRNA from 1 species